rnacentral:rRNA from 1 species
CAGCCGCCGCGGGAAUACGAAGGGUGCAAGCGUUACUCGGAAUUACUGGGCGUAAAGCGUGCGUAGGUGGUGGUUUAAGUCCGUUGUGAAAGCCCUGGGCUCAACCUGGGAAUUGCAGUGGAUACUGGGUCACUAGAGUGUGGUAGAGGAUAGUGGAAUUUCCGGUGUAGCGGUGAAAUGCGUAGAGAUCGGAAGGAACAUCUGUGGCGAAGGCGACUAUCUGGGCCAACACUGACACUGAGGCACGAAAGCGUGGGGAGCAAACAGGAUUAGAUACCCGAGUAGUCCCUGUCUCUUAUAC